rnacentral:tRNA from 1 species
AAUAUUAUAAAUAAAUAAUUAAUAAAUAAAUUUUUAAUUAUUUUAUUUUAAUAUAUUAAUUUUUAUUUAUAUUAAUUUAUAUUU